GUUAAGCUCCUUACACAAAUUAAGCUCUUCACUCCAUAGCUCCAGCUUUUGCCUGCACCACAAAGAAGUUCUCCACAUCUGCCAGAACUCAAGGAAUUUCAUCUUCAAACAAGAGACAUCUUCAAUAGCUUCAACGAAAGUGUCUUAAGUGGAGAAUCCAAAUGUGGGACUCCGUGAUUACUUUGAGAAUUAUGAAAAGGCUGUUGAGAAAGCGUUGUUUCCACCUGGUAUUUAUAUUUUAGAGGGAUGAAGUAGAUUCAGAACAAAAACGGUAGCCGGCUUUCUUACAGUAACAACAUGAAACUGAUGAAAAGGUGUGUGUUGCAGCUUCGUGCAGAUCUUUGAAGUAUUUGUGACCGAUCACAGUAUUACCACAGGGAUCAAUGUUGUCACAGCAAUGGCUUCAGAGUAUCCUGAGGUUGAAGUGAGUCAUCUGUUGAUUGAAACCGCUGCGAUGGAUCUUGUUCAGCACCCAUGACAGAUCUCGCGGCCGGAGGUUGUCUCAAUUGCCAAAAAUGUGCUUCAGCAAGCUGGAUCUUUGGAAGGAGUGGAAUUUAGCUUCCGGGAGAAGCCCAUUGGAAGCGCUGCUUUGGGAGUUCCCUUUCCGGAUCGCUGCAAAAGAAUGUGCUUCUUGUAGCCAUUGGAAGGUACAAGUGGGAUAAAAAUGAAAAGCAUCUGAGGCCUGAGAAGGGGUUACUUCAGCUUCGUGCAUGUCUUGAAGUCUUUGCAAAUCUGAGACCUGCUAUAGUUCUGCCCUAGCCCACAGUUAAGUGGAUGCUUUCACCAUAAAGAGAGAGGUAGCAGAAGGUGUUGAUCUAAUGGUUGUAGAAGAGCUUGCAUGAGGUAUUUACUUUAGGGAGCCAAGGGGCAUAAAGACCAAUGAGAAUGGCAAAGAAUUUGGUUUAAUACUGAAAAGACCCACGAGAUUGAUACGUUGCUCUUGUUGCCUUCAAGACUGCUCGGAAACGCAUAUAACUCUGAUAUCAAAGCUAAUGUCUUGGAAGCAAGGCCACAAUUUUACGGAUGAAAUGAGUAACAGCUCUAUCCUCUGAAUAUCCUGAUGUUGAGCUGUCACAUAUGUAUGUUGACAAUGCUACGAUGCAGCUUCUUAGUGACCCCAAACAGUUUGACACCAUUGUUACAAACAACGUUUUUGGUGAUAUAUUAUCCGAUGAAGCUUCAAUGAUUACCGGAAGCAUAGGAAUGCUGCCCAGUCUCAGUGAUUCGGAUAAGGCGAACCAAUUGUCAACCAUUCUGAGCGCUGCAGUGCUUUUGAAAUACGGACUUGGAGAAGAAAAGGCAGCCAAGAGGAUUGAAGAUACAAUGUACAGUCAAGAAGCAGGUUUGCAUAAAUUGGAUGUGUUUGAAAAGCUUGAAGCUAAGUAUAAGAUCGGAGAUACGCUAUGGGUUUGAAGAAUGAAGAAGAUUCAGAACCAAAAAGAUACAAGAGCAGGGCCUGUAUAGAGAGCUAAAUGGAGUCAUGAAGCAGUUUUGCGUAAAUUGUAUGUGUUUGAAAGGCUUGAAGCUAAGUAUAGAUAGGUGUUUGUCUUCCCUUGUCCACUUCCUCAAAACUUUGCCUGCGGCUGCAGCGGUAUACUAUGAAGAUAUGCUUCAAGCUAGUGACAGAAACAACUUCUUAGAUUUCGGGUUUGUCUGGGAUGGGAUGCUUUCUUUCAGUUGACUGGUGGACUCGAGGAGGCUGCUUGCAGAUCAAACUCAAAUGCCAAGCUUGUUACCCAAAGAAGCAGCAGUUAUGCUUUUUCAAAAUAAAGUCGAGAUUUUGAUGGUUACUCUCAGUCAAAUUACACUGACAUUUAUGAUAUCUACAGGGGAAGUCUUGCAUGCUUACUGCUGAAGAUGUAUACCAACCUUCAGAUAUAGCUAAAGCAAGGUCUAAAAGAAGCUAAAAGGAGUAAUCUAGAUAUUAUGGAUUCUGCAGGGAGGCUUUAGAUAGAUAAAGCCAAUGAUGGACGAAUUAAAAGACGUGAAGAAAUUAGUGUACCCCAGAGAAGUGUUACUAGUUGUUGAUGCCAUUACUGGACAAGAAGCUGCAGCUCUGGUGGCAACAUUCAAUAUAUAGGAAUCACACAGGAGCCAUUGUGGCAAAGCUAGAUGGUGAUUUAAGAGGUGGUGUUGCUUUGAGUGUCAAAAGGAGGUAUACGGAAAACCGAUUAAACUGGUAGGACGUGGAGAGCGGAUGGAGGAUCUUGUACCCUUUUAUCAAGAUCGAAUGGCUGGACAAAUUCUAGGAAGGGGAUAUGUGAUAUCAUUUGUAGAGAAGGCAACAGAAGUUGUAAGAUGCGUCAAGAAGAUGCUGAAGAUAUACAGAAGAAGAUAAUGAGUGCAAAGUACUGACUUCCAGUUAUACGAGUUGUAAUUCAGCUUCUCUCUCCUGUCUCCUCCACGAAGCGAGACGAUAGCUAUUGAGUUGGGUGAAAUGGAAGACUGUUGCUGGCCAUGGAAGAUACACAUAACACUAGGAGCCAAGUGAAGAGUUUGUCUGUUGACUGGUGGACUCGAGGAGGCUGCUUGCAGAUCAAACUCAAAGGCUAAGAUUGUACAUGAUGAGCUAGUGAAAUUGAUUGGUGGAGGAGAAGUAUCACUUUGCUAACUCAGGUCCUACAUUAAUAUUGUUACCUAAGGAAGCAGUAGGGAAAGUCUUGCAUGCUUAUUGCUGGAGAUGUAUACCUGCUGCCAUCUAUCAACUUGUCAUUUUAGCUGAACAGGAAAUGAACGAGACUGAUGGCUACGGACAGACUAAAAUCGAUCCUAAGGAGAUUGUGGAGAUUUUCAAGAAAAAAAUUCAUGGUUAGGUCAGUACUCAGUAGAGAGAGUGUUAGAAUUAGAAUCGAGAGAGAGAGGUGAAUUCUUUCUACACUUCAAAACAAGUGGUUUGCUUUCUUUACAGCGAAAUACAAGUGGUUUGAUCAACAGACUCCCGCUGCUUGUUUUGAAGCAAUGAUUCCCCGCUUCGACCUUCUUAAAAAAGACAGUGGGUUUUCUAGUUAAUGGAGAAGUCAAGAUUAUAAUCACAGUAGCUAUUUUAAAAGUUUUUGGCAAAGUAGCUGUUGUCUUAGUGGAAUCUGAAGAUGAGUCUGUAGAGAAAUCCGGAGAGAAAUCUGAAGAGGCAAGCAGUCCUCUGAAAAAGACUAAGCUAAAUGAUGGUGGUGCAGUUCCUAGUGAUGUACUCAAUGAGACUCAACUAGAGAAGGAAACCAGGAUGAAUGUCCAUGGAUUUCACGUCCUUCCGUCACAGGUGAAAAUUUGUAAGCCGUAUUUUUUUUUAUAAAAUACCCAGACAUUGCAUUAGGAUUCCAUGCAAAGAACCAACAUCUGAGAAACAGCAUGCAUGAAUGUCCUACUCAGCCAGUCACCUCAUGAGCUCUCCAGUGAAGAUAUGGUGGAAGCAGAAGCAUACGUGAAAGAUGCAGGCUUUAAGGUGGACUGGUUGGAGAAGAAGCUGGAUUAAGUAAAGGAAGAGGAAGAGGAGACUGGUGACACUCGGAUUCAAGAAUUAGAGGAGUAAUUGAAGGAAUUUUAAGCAGAAGUGGUUAGACAUGGAAGCUCUUCUGGAGAAAGGGAAGGCAAAAGUGUUGGCUGCACGAGCUCCUCUAACAUUGGAUGAUUUUCAUUUGAGUCUUUAGAUUUCGUAAUUAGAGUCCUCUUGUAACUUAGGAAGGUAAAGUGACCCAUGUCGAGAAAUCAAGUUUCCACUUUUUGUGAAGAUGGGUAGGAUAUUGUAAAUGUAAAGCAUGCUUUUUAGUAAUGAAAAAGCAAUGCCUUUUAAAUGGCUCAUUUUCAA